CCUACGGGAGGCAGCAGUGGGGAAUAUUGCACAAUGGGGGAAACCCUGAUGUAGCGACGCCGCGUGAGUGAAGAAGUAAUUCGUUAUGUAAAGCCCUAUCAGCAGGGAAGAUAAUGACGGUACCUGAGUAAGAAGCCCCGGCUAACUACGUGCCAGCAGCCGCGGUAAUACGUAGGGGGCAAGCGUUAACCGGAUUUACUGGGUGUAAAGGGAGCGUAGACGGCAGUGCAAGUCCGGAGUGAAAGUUUGCGGCUCAACCGUAAAAUUGCAGUUGAAACUGGCAGUCUAGAGUACGGUAGAGGUAGGCGGAAUUCGUGGUGUAGCGGUGAAAUGCUUAGAGAUCACGAAGAACUCCGAUUGCGAAGGCAGCUCACUGGACUGCAACUGACACUGAUGCUCGAAAGUGUGGGUAUCAAACAGGAUUAGAGACCCGGGUAGUC
rnacentral:rRNA from 1 species